AGAGGGCCUGAAGUCUCUGCCUGUGGUGCCCAAAGCCCCGGCGGUACCCACCCCCGCUCGGCCUUACUCAGUCCUGAAAGGGGAAAAAGGUGAGUGUAGGCACGGUAGGAGCUGGGACAGUCCAGGAGGACAGAGCAACCCUUCCAGAAUGCACCAAAUUGAGAGCGUGAGGACUACAACUCCCAGGAUGCACCACAGUUACUCUGCAUGUACCUUGGGAGUUGUAGUUCCCUGAAGAGAAGUCCUGCAUUCUCCUCCCCAGAGCCUUGCUGACCAGCUGCUCCAGGGGGAGCCCCCUGCCCUUCUCCCCAGUCACCACCGACGACCAGGAACAGUAACUGCCACCCAAACUCAGUCACAAAUACGUCCCUCUCCAGCCCUGCACAACGCUCCUUGUGCCCGCUCUCCCCCCCAGCCUGAUGCCCACUCCAUGCCAGCACGGCCAGCAGUGCCAGGCAGGUACAGGGGUGACCAAACCAGUUGGUGUGUGUCUGGGGGGGGGCAGGAGGCAACCCCACAGUCCUCCAGGCCUCCCCCGCGCACACGUAUACCCCGGGGAGCAGAGUCCCCAUCCUGGUUUAACCCCUCACCGCUCAGUCUGGCUCCCCAGCCCCCAGGAGCUGCCUCCCUUCUCAGGAAUAAGCUGGGGGCAGGGGAACCGCUGCGCUGACUCACUCCCAUUCCCAGCUGCAGCUGGGGGUCUGCAGGGCGUUCAGGCGGGGGUCAGUUCAAGAACGCCCUCCACCUGGCCCGGAAGCCGGGACAGCCUGCUGGUCUCCCCCUCUCCUCAGCACCCACUUCCGGUGUCCCAAACUAGGUCAGCGGCGCUCGUUUCCUGUGGGUCAGCUAGCACCCGCGCCUCUGCCCCUCCCCUGCUCCGGACCCAGGCUCCCCGCCCCCCCCCCCCAGGGCGCCCCGAGGUCUCACCACGUCUCAGCCGCCCUUUGAUACGUGGGGGUUGUGCGGGGCGGGGGGCAGGGGACCCGC